rnacentral:rRNA from 1 species
GAGGAAUAUUGCACAAUGGGCGCAAGCCUGAUGCAGCAACGCCGCGUGAGGGACGAAGGCCUUCGGGUUGUAAACCUCUUUUCUGAGGGAAGAGAAUGAGGACGGUACCUCAGGAAUAAGUCUCGGCUAACUACGUGCCAGCAGCCGCGGUAAAACGUAGGAGGCGAGCGUUAUCCGGAAUUACUGGGCGUAAAGGGCAUGCAGGCGGCUUGGUAAGUUGGACGUGAAAGCUCCUGGCUUAACUGGGAGAGUGCGUUCGAAACUGCUGAGCUUGAGGCUGGGAGAGGGGUGUGGAAUUCCCGGUGUAGUGGUGGAAUGCGUAGAUAUCGGGAGGAACACCAGUGGCGGAAGCGGCACCCUGGACCAGGCCUGACGCUGAUAUGCGAAAGCGUGGGGAGCAAAC